rnacentral:lncRNA from 1 species
UUCACAUCACAGCGGUGCUGUGUGGAGCGUUUCGCCUAAUGGGGAAAGCAGACCAGCUGCUCACACAGCAGAUAUUGGUCUAAGGGCUGAGCAAGGCUGUGCCUCUCAGUACAUAGACUUGUUUGGGAUAAAAAGAGCUGAGGGAGCAAUUCCAAGAAGCUCAAAAGGCCUACAUAGCAAUGCAGUUAGCUCAGGGUUUGAGCUCUAACAGCAGAUGCUGGGCAGAUACCACUGCUGUUGCAUUUAUUAGAUCCCAAGGCCUGAAACCCACUGGGGUUCCCAGGCUGUGCACAGCCUUUACUACCUCUCAGUGAGAAUAUCAGACUGCAUGCCUUUCUCCAUUUUGUGAUCAAAGUGUAUGUCUCCUUACAGCGAGCAGCUCUGCAAGGGGGCUAUUUUUACAUCCCGAACGACCUGAUCGGGAGCGAGGCAUUAAAUGCAGGCCUUUUGUGUCUCAGGAGAAGGAUCUGCAUCACAUGUGUUCCAGACUGGCUUCUGAAACUUUCCUCUUGGAGCUGAUCCACUUCUGGGGAUAUAAAUACUACCAAGUGAAUGUACAUGUUAAAAUUGUUCAGUGAUGGAAGCAUCUCUGCAAGGAGAAUCUCCUUUUUGUGAAGAACAGCCGUUUAUUUAUUUGAGGAAUCAAAAGGAUGCUGUUUCUGUAAGGAAAUUCAUCCUAGGUCCAAUUUUUUUUUUUGGCAUUUUUGUUGUCUUUUGGACAUACUCCAAACAGCUAUCUAGGUCAGCAUCUGACUGACAGGAGAAUCUAAUUUCUAUGUGCAUAACCUGCUCUUAUUCCAGUUAAGCAUCCUAAAUUAUGCUGGGUAGCACACCCUGUGAGUUAGAUAUGACAAUGCUUAGCUCUAUGAACGCAUCUAACUGGAGGUCCUUAAGCUGAGUCUGAUGUUCUUCGCAUCCUUUAUUCUGCAGUUUGACCUAAACAAAUAUCUGAUUGAAAUGGGGCCUACAGGCUUGACUUUGUUUUAGAGCUGUGUCUUUCAGGGAAUUUUCAGUCCUUUUUGUUAUCUUCUCUGACAAACGAGAAGAUAAAUUAAGUAUAUGUUCAAAACCAGAUGAGGAGUUAAAAUUACAGCUUGCUUCAUUGCAGUUUCUGCAGUAUCUGCAUCAGGAUCUGCACUUGUGCAAUGACUUAGAGGACCUUGCCCUUCUGAGCAGAGAUGUUAUACGAGCAACAUAAACAGAGGACCAAAAUAUGGCCUUAAUUAGAAAGAAAAAUUAAUUGUAGUGUCAACAAUAAUGCAAGACGGUGUAACGUUAGCUGCUGGACUGCAUACAGAAGAAAUCAAACGAUUUAGGGAUAUACUGAAUGUUAAGCAUGUGAAGACCAGUGCAAGGUUUUACUUGUGCCCAGGAUCGCAGGCCUUCAUACGGUCUGAUGUCAACAUGACUGAGGUUACUAAAAAAAAAAUCAUUUCAGAUGCUGAAUGGCCAGGUUAUCUACAUCUCCACGUAAUCUGGAUUGGAUAUGUCUGGAAUAGUGAAAGUAAGCUUGUUUUGUUAAAUUUAAGUUACUUUAAAUAUUUCUCCAGUGUUUAAAACAAAAAUGGCAACUUUGCUUUAAC